CAAAUCAGGUAGGACUACCCGCUGAACUUAAGCAUAUCAAUAAGCGGAGGAAAAGAAACUAACAAGGAUUCCCCUAGUAACUGCGAGUGAAGCGGGAAAAGCUCAAAUUUAAAAUCUGGCGUUCCCCCGGACGUCCGAGUUGUAAUCUAGAGAAGUGUUUUCCGUGCCGGACCGUGUACAAGUCUCUUGGAAUGGAGCGUCGUAGAGGGUGACAAUCCCGUCUUUGACACGGAUCGCCGGUGCUUUUGUGAUGCGCUCUCGAAGAGUCGAGUUGUUUGGGAAUGCAGCUCAAAAUGGGUGGUAAAUUCCAUCUAAAGCUAAAUACAGGCGAGAGACCGAUAGCGAACAAGUACCGUGAGGGAAAGAUGAAAAGAACUUUGAAAAGAGAGUUAAACAGUACGUGAAAUUGUUGAAAGGGAAACGAUUCAAGUCAGUCGCGUCGUCCAGUAAUCAACCCUUUGCGUAAGAGGGCUCACUUUCUGGGCUGACGGGUCAGCGUCAAUUUUGAUUGUCGGAUAAAGGCACGAGGAAUGUGGCAUCUUCGGAUGUGUUAUAGCCUCUUGUCGCAUGCGACGGUUGGGAUUGAGGAUCUCGACACGCCGCAAGGUCGGGGCUUCGUGCCCACGUAACGUGUCUCGGAUGCUGGCAUAAUGGCUUGAACCGACCCGUCUUGAAACACGGACC
rnacentral:rRNA from 1 species